AACUUUAGAAUAUUCUUAUUGUAAGCAUAUAUUAUCAUUAACUUUGAUUGAUUUGCUAAUGAUCCUCAUAAUUGAUUAAGUUAGCAUUUGGCGGAUUCCAACAUUUUGGCUGAUUAUGGUAAAUUAUUUUAAUAUAUGAAUAUUGUGUUGGGCUGUAAUUGUGUCCUGCCUUAGUUAAAUGCUUGUCUUCUUGAUUAUAUAGUCAUAGAUGCUUUAAAUUAGCCUUCUUGCCGUAAUUAUAAAAAUCAACUGCCACUUGAUUACAUAUUGGGUAAAAAUCGAUUGAUUUUAUUCAUUAUUUGUUUAAGGAAAAUAAUUCUAAUUGUCUCCUUAAUUAUUUCUUUUCCUUUUAUGUUGUGCCCUCUCUUUUGUAUAUAAAUAAGGUUCAUAAUUCCAUAUAACACACGGUGGAACACCUCUACACUCUCACAUCCUAACUUGUGCUCACAUACUAAAAUACUAAAAUAUAUAUUACUCUCUGCUUGAAAAGAUUUUCGGGUGAACUUUUAAGAAGUAUUUUGCUGUGUUCGGGUCGAAUAGUGUGGAAUCAACUUGCCUUCAUUGCUGAUAUAUUUUUUAACUGCUUAACCAGGUUUGAACUUAAAGGUUCAAGACAUGAAGAGUCGCCAUGGGAGGGAAAUAGACUAAUCGAUUUAAUUUAUGUUUUGUGUAUUAUUUAAUCCUUUUUAUUAUUUUUGUAAUAAUUUGUAAACUCUAACUCUAUAUAUGUGAAAUAAUUUGGGGAUCGGCUAAGGGGGAGGGAUUUACAUGCUACUUGUUUAUUUAUUUUUAUCGUAACUUAUUUAUGUUAGAAACCAUGCUUAUAGGA